GGUUUGAUUAUGGCUCAGAUUGAACGCUAAAGGGAUGCCUUACACAUGCAAGUCGAACGGCAGCACGGACUUCGGUCUGGUGGCGAGUGGCGAACGGGUGAGUAAUGUAUCGGAACGUGCCCAGUAGCGGGGGAUAACUACGCGAAAGGUAGCUAAUACCGCAUACGGCCCUACGGGGGAAAGCAGGGGAUCGCAAGACCUGCACUAUUGGAGCGGCCGAUAUCGGAUUAGCUAGUUGGUGGGGUAACGGCUCACCAAGGCGACGAUCCGUAGCUGAAGUUUGAGAGGACGACCAGCCACACUGGGACUGAGACACGGCCCAGACUCCUACGGAGGCAUGCGCUUUCUAAGGUAGAAACUUGACAGGUCGAAACUCCCGAUCCAGCCAUCCCGCGUGCGAUGAAGGCCUUCGGGUUAGAAAGCACUUUGGCAGGAGAACGUCGUGGUGGUCAGGACGACUGCUGAACUGAGCGGCAUACCGAAUGAAAACUGUACAACACGUUAAAGCAGUAACAUGAAGUAAUCUAAAUUGCACUGAAUGGAGGCGUGGUACAGGCCUUGAAAGAGCACGAACCUGAUUUUGAACUUUGGAACUGCAUUUUUAACUACUGCCAGAGUGGUGUCAGAGAGGGAGGUGGGAAUUCCGCGUGUAGCAGUGAAAUGCGUAGAUAUGCGGAGGAACACCGAUGGCGAAGGCAGCCUCCUGGGAUAACACUGACGCUCAUGCACGAAAGCGUGGGGAGCAAACAGGAUUAGAUACUCCUGGUAUCUCACGCCUCAAACGAUGUCAACUAGCUGUUGGGGCCUUCGGGCUCGUAGCGCAGCUAACGCGUGAAGUUGACCGCCUGGGGAGUACGGUCGCAAAGAUUAAAACUCAAAGGAAUUGACGGGGACCCGCACAAGCGGUGGAUGAUGUGGAUUAAUUCGAUGGCAACGCGAAAACCUUACCUACCCUUGACAUGUCUGGAAUGCCGAAGAGAUUUGGCAGUGCUCGCAAGAGAACCGGAACACAGGUGCUGCAUAUUGCCGUCAGCUCGUGCUGUAGGAUGUUGGGUUAAGUCCCGCAACGAGCGCAACCCUUGUCAUUAGUUGCUACGAAAGGGCACUCUAAUGAGACUGCCGGUGACAAACCGGAGGAAGGUGGGGAUGACGUCAAGUCCUCAUGGCCCUUAGCGGGUAGGGCUUCACACGUCAUACAAUGGUCGGGACAGAGGGUCGCCAACCCGCGAGGGGGAGCCAAUCCCAGAAACCCGAUCGUAGUCCGGAUCGCAGCCUGCAACUCGACUGCGUGAAGCCGGAAUCGCUAGUAACGCGGAUCAGCAUGUCGCGGUGAAUACGUUCCCGGGCCUUGUACACACCGCCCGUCACACCAUGGGAGUGGGUUUUACCAGAAGUAGUUAGCCUAACCGCAAGGGGGGCGAUUACCAGGAAGAGAUUCAGACGGGGUGAAGUCGCAACAAGGUAG
rnacentral:rRNA from 1 species